rnacentral:rRNA from 1 species
ACUGGGAUACCACUUGGAAACAGGUGCUAAUACCGGAUAACAACAUGAAUCGCAUGACUCAAGUUUGAAAGGCGGCGCAAGCUGUCACUUCAGGAUGAGCCCGCGGCGCAUUAGCUAGUUGGUGGGGUAAAGGCCUACCAAGGCAAUGAUGCGUAGCCGAGUUGAGAGACUGAUCGGCCACAUUGGGACUGAGACACGGCCCAAACUCCUACGGGAGGCAGCAGUAGGGAAUCUUCCACAAUGGACGCAAGUCUGAUGGAGCAACGCCGCGUGAGUGAAGAAGGUUUUCGGAUCGUAAAGCUCUGUUGUUGGUGAAGAAGGAUAGAGGCAGUAACUGGUUUCUAUUUGACGGUAAUCAACCAGAAAGUCACGGCUAACUACGUGCCAGCAGCCGCGGUAAUACGUAGGUGGCAAGCGUUGUCCGGAUUUAUUGGGCGUAAAGCGAGCGCAGGCGGAAUGAUAAGUCUGAUGUGAAAGCCCACGGCUCAACCGUGGAACAGCAUCGGAAACUGUCAUUCUUGAGUGCAGAAGAGGAGAGUGGAACUCCAUGUGUAGCGGUGGAAUGCGUAGAUAUAUGGAAGAACACCAGUGGCGAAGGCGGCUCUCUGGUCUGCAACUGACGCUGAGGCUCGAAAGCAUGGGUAGCGAACAGGAUUAGAUACCCUGGUAGUCCAUGCCGUAAACGAUGAGCGCUAGGUGUUGGGGACUUUCCGGUUCUCAGUGCCGCAGCAAACGCAUUAAGCGCUCCGCCUGGGGGAGUACGACCGCAAGGUUGAAACUCAAAGGAAUUGACGGGGGCCCGCACAAGCGGUGGAGCAUGUGGUUUAAUUCGAUGAUACGCGAGGAACCUUACCCGGGCUUGAAUUGCAGACUAAUGCGGCGGAGACGCCGCAGUCCUUCGGGAAGUCUGUGAAGGUGCUGCA